CACGUAGGGGGGCAAGCGUUGUCCGGAAUUAUUGGGCGUAAAGAGCGUGUAGGCGGUCCGGUAAGUCAGCUGUGAAAGUCAAGGGCUCAACCCUUGAAAGCCGGUUGAUACUGUCGGGCUAGAGUCCGGAAGAGGCGAGUGGAAUUCCUGGUGUAGCGGUGAAAUGCGCAGAUAUCGGGAGGAACACCUAUGGCGAAGGCAGCUCGCUGGGACGUUACUGACGCUGAGACGCGAAAGCGUGGGAGCGAACAGG
rnacentral:rRNA from 1 species